rnacentral:rRNA from 1 species
UGAGCUUGAUCCUGGCUCAGGAUGAACGCUAGCGGCAGGCUUAACACAUGCAAGUCGAGGGGUAUAGGUCUUCGGAACAAGAGACCGGCGCACGGGUGCGUAACGCGUAUGCAAUCUACCUUUUGCAGAGGGAUAGCCCAGAGAAAUUUGGAUUAAUACCUCAUAGUAUAGCAGUUUCGCAUGAAACCACUAUUAAAGUCACAACGGCAAAAGAUGAGCAUGCGUCCCAUUAGCUAGUUGGUAAGGUAACGGCUUACCAAGGCUACGAUGGGUAGGGGUCCUGAGAGGGAGAUCCCCCACACUGGUACUGAGACACGGACCAGACUCCUACGGGAGGCAGCAGUGAGGAAUAUUGGACAAUGGGCGCAAGCCUGAUCCAGCCAUGCCGCGUGCAGGAUGACGGUCCUAUGGAGUUGUAAACUGCUUUUGUACAGGAAGAAACACUCCCUCGUGAGGGAGCUGAC